rnacentral:rRNA from 2 species
CUGGUUGAUCCUGCCAGUAGUCAUAUGCUUGUCUCAAAGAUUAAGCCAUGCAAGUCUCAGUACAUGCCGCACUAAGGUGAAACCGCAAAAGGCUCAUUAAAUCAGUUAUGGUUCCUUGGAUCUUAAACAGUUACUUGGAUAACUGUGGUAAUUCUAGAGCUAAUACAUGCAAACAAGUCCCGACCAGAGAUGGAAGGGACGCUUUUAUUAGAUCAAAACCGAUCGGCGUCCGGCUCCGGCCGGCGCCGUCUCUUUUGGUGACUCUGGAUAACUUUUAGCUGAUCGCACGGUCACAGUACCGGCGACGCAUCUUUCAAAUGUCUGACUUAUCAACUGUCGAUGGUAGGCUCUGCGCCUACCAUGGUUGUUACGGGUAACGGGGAAUCAGGGUUCGAUUCCGGAGAGGGAGCCUGAGAAACGGCUACCACAUCCAAGGAAGGCAGCAGGCGCGCAAAUUACCCACUCCCGGCACGGGGAGGUAGUGACGAAAAAUAACGAUACGGGACUCAUCCGAGGCCCCGUAAUCGGAAUGAGUACACUUUAAAUACUUUAACGAGUACCAAUUGGAGGGCAAGUCUGGUGCCAGCAGCCGCGG